GAUGAACGCUGGCGGCGUGCCUAAUACAUGCAAGUCGAGCGAACAGACGAGGAGCUUGCUCCUCUGACGUUAGCGGCGGACGGGUGAGUAACACGUGGAUAACCUACCUAUAAGACUGGGAUAACUUCGGGAAACCGGAGCUAAUACCGGAUAAUAUAUUGAACCGCAUGGUUCAAUAGUGAAAGACGGUUUUGCUGUCACUUAUAGAUGGAUCCGCGCCGCAUUAGCUAGUUGGUAAGGUAACGGCUUACCAAGGCAACGAUGCGUAGCCGACCUGAGAGGGGGAUAGGCCACACUGGAACUGAGACACGGGCCAGACUCCUACGGGAGGCAGCAGUAGGGAAUCUUCCGCAAUGGGCGAAAGAAUGACGGAGCAACGCCGCGUGAGUGAUGAAGGUAUUCGGAUCGUAAAACUCUGUUAUUAGGGAAGAACAAAUGUGUAAGUAACUAUGCACGUCUUGACGGUACCUAAUCAGAAAGCCACGGCUAACUACGUG
rnacentral:rRNA from 1 species